AGACUGCGGGGGGCCGCUUUCGCGGCCCUUCCUCCGGCGCGUCGGGGCAUCCUCCUCCCGUCCCUGGCGCGAAACUAGACGGCCCGCGGGAUCCUCCCCCCGCGGGCCGUUUUU
rnacentral:sRNA from 20 species